GUCUGGGACUCCUUUUCCACUCAGGCCAUCAGUUUUUCCAGACAGCUGAAAGUUAAUGGGCACCAUGAUUGGGGUGAGUAAUCCUUGUGAAACCAGCUCUGGAGGAAGUUGCCCAGCAAAACAAAUCCCAGCUCUGACGUGGAGCCGAACACGAGGUGCUCUGUAUAAAAACCAGGAAUCAUUCCAAGGGAAACGGCACAUUUCAGCUCUGCUGAGACAUCACAGAGUGCAGGGAUGCAGAAAACUAUCCCUGGCUGCUUCUUCCAGCAAAUAUAUUCUUCCCUAACUGGCAUUUCAAUGGAGAGAGACCACAUGAAAGAUCUCAGAAGAUACCUGGCACUGAAAUACAUCCAAUACCUCGUCCUGUCUUCCUCCAACGCAGUCAGCACCCUCCUGGGGCUGCUGGGCAGCGCCUACACCAUCAUCCUCCUGCAGUCUGCCAAGGUCUCCUCCAAGUCCACUGCAGUCCUCAUCUCCAGCCUGGCCCAGGCAGACAUCCUGGUUUUCCUCAGCCUUGUUUCCGACGCGGUUUUGGGGGGUUUUGGUGUCUCUCCCUCAUCCUCGCCGCUGGCGCGGACGCUCCUGGUGGCCAAUGCCCACGUGAGCUGUGUCCUGCUCAGCUGCGUGGCCUUUGAGGCUUACCUGAUCACCUUCCUGCCCUCGGAAUCGCGGCCCCACAGGACAGUCAGGAAUGCCAGGCUGGUAUCCAGGGCCGUCUGGAUGCUGGUGGCUGCAGAGUGUGCCCUGUUCCUCCUGGAUGAGCACCUGAGGGCCAGCAGCUCCUCCGUCCCCAACCAGGGCCCUUUGGGGCUCCUGUGCCACAUCUCCAGCUCAGCCACAGCCCUGCUCCGGUCCCUCAGCUACAUCCUGGGAAUCCUGCUGAGGAUUGUCAACGUGUACAUCUACUACAAGAUAUUUUUCAGCAUAUCUCCCAGGUCUAGACUCAAAUCCAAGUAGGAUCUGCUCCUUCUGGGAAUGCUGGGACAGCUUCAAUGCAAUUCCAAACCGUUGUUCAACCAAGGCUCGCCAGGGAGUUUAAACCUUCCUGAUUUAAACCUGCCCAGCUGUUAUUGAGGGGAGUUUGGGGCUGAGGAGCCCCUUGGCAUUGAGACACCACAGCUGGUGUGUGUUUAUUUAGACUUUAUUCACUGUAGAGGUGAAACAAAAGACAUUUCAUGGUUGUAAAUCAACCCCACUAUUUUUUAUAUAAAAAGGGGUGCUUAAAGGCUUCCUCAGGGAUCUGCUGAGCCAAGAGUUGUGUAGUUGUUUACUGAAGACAGGAUCUGUCCUAAAAUAUUCCUAACUCAGGUGACCCCCAGGCUCUGCAGGUGGGAUGGAGAGACAAGAUGGAGAGGAAACAAAACCCUGCACAGGAUGAUGGAACUGAUAAAUGGAAGAGUUCCCCCCGUCAGCAGAAAGCCACCAGGGAAGACCCAGGGGCUGCUGCUGGUUUUGCUGCGCUGCUCACGGGUGCUGUGCUGGGUGGGGAAGCCCUUCCUGCUGUCCUCCAGGGCCAAAAGCUGCCCUGUGCACACCCAGCAGUGAGGAGAGGAAGUGAUUUCCCAGGAGAAUGAGCAGCUUUGGCUUUUCCCUUGGCUGGUGCCACCUCUGCACAUGGAACAGCUCAGGUUAGACUCGGUGAUCGUGGAGAUCCCUUCAACCUCGAUGAUUCUCUGCUGACCCAAUGUCCCUCCUGAGAGCAGCUGGGGGCUGUGGCAGUGGUCAGGCUGAAAGGGAAGGAGAUGCUCCACAAGGAAAUUCUGGGACAGAACGCCAGGAUUGGAGAGAUCUGCAUGGCUGGGACACCCAAAGCACUCUGCAGUCAAGGACAGACCCUCCAGUCCCUUUGUUCACAUCCUCGUCUGAAGUUUCCAAAUCCUUGAAAUAAAGAGGGCUUCUUGACAGUUCAACUAAAGCACAUGAGCUAUUUUUAUUUUCCACUUGGAUACAAUUCCCUGAGUCGUUUUGGCUGACUCCUGGUGGUUGAUGGAGCUGUGGCUGUGGGGUCAGAUA